rnacentral:tmRNA from 1 species
CGUCAGCCUGAGUACGCUCUCGACUCAGUAACUGGCGUCAUCUAGAGAGCCACUGCUUGUGACCUUCGUCAGUGGGGUUGCAGGGACUUUUAGCUGACUGGGCCCGUCCGCUGCUUGUCUGCGUGAUAGCGGGGGCCGAGAAAAUCAAUAGCAGACUGCACACGGAGAAGUCCUGGUUCCAUGUCAUCGGACGCGGGUUCGAUUCCCGCCACCUCCACCC